rnacentral:rRNA from 1 species
CAGCACCUCAAGUGGUCAGGAUGAUUAUUGGGCCUAAAGCAUCCGUAGCUCGUUUUGUAAGUUUUCGGUUAAAUCCAUGCGCUUAACGUAUGGGCUGCCGGGAAUACUGCAUAACUAGGAAGUGGGAGAGGUAGACGGUACUCGGUAGGAAGGGGUAAAAUCCUUUGAUCUAUUGAUGACCACCUGUGGCGAAGGCGGUCUACCAGAACACGUUCGACGGUGAGGGAUGAAAGCUGGGGGAGCAAACCGGAUUAGAUACCCGGGUAGUCCCAGCUGUAAACUAUGCAAACUCAGUGAUGCAUUGGCUUAUGGCCAAUGCAGUGCUGCAGGGAAGCCGUUAAGUUUGCCGCCUGGGAAGUACGUACGCAAGUGUG